UCGUGCCUUCAAAAUUAAAUUCACCCAGUUCUUUGGAUGCCACAUAACCAACGUUUUGGACAUUAACGUCGAUUCAAAUUGCCUUACGAUCGACUGUGCCGUAUCCUCCACGUUCAACCUUUGAAGGAUGCCUUGGUUCCGUCAGAUGGCCUGCAUAAUCCGUCAAAUCAAUGGGUAUUCAGUUUUAGGGCCCCUAAAUAUUUUUAGUUUAUGAAUGUUUCAGUAAGAGUAUUUCUUUCUUUCUCCAGGCUGUUGAGAAACCGCUAUAAUUUAGUUUGUUUUCUGUAGAAGGUUUUUGCGCUUCGAUCGUUUUCUCAUUAUCAUUUAUAAGGACCUGCCAAGUAUAUAUUCAUACAUUAAGAAAUAACGAUUUCUUUAUUUUCUAUAAGAGAGCAAUUUAUUCCUACAUGAUUUUCAUUAAUUAUGUAAUCAGAUUCCUUAAAAAUUUAAAAUAAUUAUUAUAUAAUGUUUAUAUGGUCAGAACUAUAAUAUAGGAUUACAACGAGAUUUUUUUUUUUUCCUAAAAUAAGAGUGGGAGGCUUGGUUUAACAAAAACGGAAUGAACAUAAAUUUUACAAAAAUCAAAAUCAAUUAGAAAUCAUACCAAAUUGGAAACAAUAACGUAGAAUAGGCUUUUGUUGGUUGAUGUUUGGUGGCGGUAAUUGACGGCAAUCGUGAUUCUUGGACGAGAUGUUGAUAUUCAAAUCCAAAAAACCGGAGAUAUCGCUCCAAAACACAGAAGGAUUAGAAAGAGGAGCAAUUGAACCAAAAUCAUUAGGAAAUUGAAAGAACCAACUACAUACCGAAAUUGCUCACAUAGGUUGAUAUUUGGUGGCGGUAAUUGACCGCAAUUUCACACACAACAGGGUAGAGGCGUUUUGUUGCGGGUGUUUACUGACGGUAAUAAAGCGCAGAAGGGUUGAUGAAGUUGAUUCCUCUUUAUUGGAUGACAAGUCGGUUGCAGUUUCAAACGAUCACAAUGAUGAUCAAUUGCUGGGAGUUUCAUACGAUCUUGUCUUUUUUUGGAUGAUACAUGAUGUUGAUGAAGUCGAUUCCUCUUUUUUUGUGGAUGAGAAGUCGGUUGCAGUUUCAAACGAUCACAGUGAUGAUUAAUCGUUGAGAGUUUUAGACGAUCUUGUCUUUUUUUGGAUGAUACAUGAUGUUGAUGAAGUCGAUUCCUCUUUUUUUGUGGAUGAGAAGUUGGUUGCAGUUUCAAACGAUCACAAUGAUGAUAAAUCGUUGGGAGAUUCAGAUCAUCACAAGCGGAGACGAAUCAAAAUGAAAGCGACAGAGGAUUUUACAAAUUGAUAUUCAGU
rnacentral:lncRNA from 1 species